UGCUCUUCCAAUCUGGCCAAGUUGCGACUGGCUCUUUAGAAAGCUCUCUCUGGCAGGGGUGUGGAGCGUGCGUUGAAGUGGGUCACGACAGAGGCAUAGGAAGGCCCAUUGGGACAACAGCGCGGCCCUCUCUGGAGGAUGCUGGAUGGGGAAGUGGCAGUGGGGCUGGACAGAAGCAGAUGCUUUCAGAAGAUCUUUCGGAGG